UGUUAUUUUGUCGUUGUAUGGUCGUCGUAUCUCUAUAGGGCGAGUAAGUGGAUAGGCGCGCGUCUUAUCAACUUUGUAAAAGCCUCAUGCGCGCGUAAAGAAACGGAGGGACUCCCGUCUCGCACAUCGUGUUGUGCAGUCAUCGCCUGGAAAUGACGAAAUUCAUGAGACGAUUCUUCAUUCUGGCCGUUCUUUUGAUGUGUUCUGCUAUCGCUCGAGUCUGCUUCGGGAACUG
rnacentral:lncRNA from 1 species